CUACGGGCCGCUCCAGUGAGGAAUAUUGGUCAAUGGGCGCGAGCCUGAACCAGCCAUCCCGCGUGCAGGAUGACGGCCCUAUGGGUUGUAAACUGCUUUUCUAUGCCAAGAAACCUGAUUACGUGUAAUCAGUUGCCGGUAGCAUAGGAAUAAGCAUCGGCUAACUCCGUGCCAGCAGCCGCGGUAAUACGGAGGAUGCAAGCGUUAUCCGGAUUCAUUGGGUUUAAAGGGUGCGCAGGUGGGCUUGUAAGUCAGUGGUGAAAUGCUGCCGCUUAACGGUAGAACUGCCAUUGAUACUGCGAGUCUUGAGUAUGGUUGAGGUAGGCGGAAUGUGUUGUGUAGCGGUGAGAUGCAUAGAUAUGACACAGAACGCCAAUUGCGAAGGCAGCUUACUAAGCCAUUACUGACGCUGAGGCACGAAAGCGUGGGGAGCGAACAGGAUUAGAUACCCUCGUAGUC
rnacentral:rRNA from 1 species